UCAGCAAGGAAUCAUGUGGGACCUUUUAUUCCUAAUUUCAGAUGACGGCUUGCAUUAAACUCUGGCUCCUGGCCACUGCAGUACAUUGUGACCUUGAGGCACUGUGGGCACACUAGACAUUGCCACCACCCAAAGCCUCAUGCUGAUCCUUGAGAAGAGAGGUCGUGAAUUGUGCCCUUUCCUCAACCUCAGUCUUUCUCAACUGGCUGUUUCUUAAAGAAGCAGAGAGGGGAAGAGGUCCAUAGCUCCAGGCUGU
rnacentral:lncRNA from 1 species